GAACAAAAAAGAGAGACAGUUGCAGUAAUAGAUAAAUUAUAGUUCUGCUAAUCACCAACUACAGUCUACAUUAAGCAAAGUUAGAAACAGAGAAUCACUGCACUAGGGAACUAAUAAAGUUCCGCCCUCAAUUAUUCCCAAAAUAUUAGCAUAUACAGGUCCGAAAUCAAAUAAAUAAUGCCAUUCAACUAUUUUACAUUCGAUUGCAAAAACCUAUCUUCUCACCCUAAUCAAAGGGUCGAGUUCUAGCAAUACUUACAAUGGGUCAAAAGAAUUUUCCUAAUCUAGGAUUUGCAGUGCCUUCAACACAUGCAACUGUUCAGUAACAAUUGCCCUCGAACCCAGCUAAGCUUAAGUUACAAUCAUGGUGGCUGAGGUAAUGGAGAACUGCACACUAAAGUUAGAUGUUGCAGUGGUGGUGAAACUGAACCCCGAAUGCACUUGACAAAAUUUUACAUUUCAGUUCUUGUCAACUAUUUUCCAAGAUCUAGGAUCAGAAGAUUUCAGUAUCCAUUCCUAAAAUUGAAGGGCUAAAAACUCAAAACCAAGCUCACACGCGUAUAUAUAUAUCUCAAAAUUUCAAAUGUCUGUAUAUGUGUAAGAACCUACUUUUAACUAGCCAAUCUUCUUCAUAUCCACAAGGCAUGAUUACAAAGGAAACCAAACGCGUGUGUGUGGGAGAGAGAUAUUUCACAUAUUAAACACUUUGAUUAAAGAGACAUUGAAAAUAGUAAGACAACAGAAUAUGUAAAUAACAACUUAAUAGCACAUAUAAGAUAAAUAUAAAUAUACAUUUAAGUUGAUCAAUUCAAAAAUUGCAUGAGAGUUGAGACCAUUAGCUUUGUCUACUUGUAGAGAUUGAAGGUAACAUUUUAGUUUGACUGUCAUGAAAGAAAGAAGAGCUAAAUGAAAAUAUAUAUAAAAGGAAAGGGAAAGCAAAAGUUCAUAUUGAGAAAUCCCAUUUCAUUUGGGAUGAUGUGAUAGGGAAUUAUUAAAUUGAUUUCUACUAACCAUCAAAAACAACUAUCAAUCAAAUUUUAAUUCGUAAAUAUAAAAAUUUAAAUAAUUAAUUUUUAAUUGAACUUUCAUAGUUCAUACUCAAUAAUAACUAAGUAAUUUUGAUACUUCAGCUUAAAUCAUAAUAAACAAAUUAUAAACUAUUAAGGGUUAACAGAAAAUUUGUGGAGGCCAAUUAAUAAAAAAAAAAUUCAUAAUUUACCACAUCUAUUUUAAAAAUUUUUAUAAAUGUUUUGGGGGCAAAACCUCCCUUGUCCCCCUUCCUCCACCCUUGCUGUCAAGUUUUAUAAAUGUCA
rnacentral:misc_RNA from 1 species